rnacentral:rRNA from 1 species
GCAAGUCGAACGGAAAGGCCCUGCUUUUGUGGCUUGCUCGAGUGGCGAACGGGUGAGUAACACGUGAGUAACCUCCUCUUGACUUUGGGAUAACUUCAGGAAACUGGUUCUAAUACCGGAUAGUAGCUCCUACUGCUCUGUGGGGGUUGGAAAGUUUCGGCGGUAGGGGAUGGAUUCGCGGCUUAUCAGCUAGUGGUAGGGUAGUGGCUUACCAUGGCAUUGACGGGUAGGCGGCCUGAGAGGGUGAGC